AUUGAACGCUGGCGGCAUGCCUUACACAUGCAAGUCGAACGGUAACAGGUCUUCGGAUGCUGACGAGUGGCGAACGGGUGAGUAAUACAUCGGAACGUGCCUAGUAGUGGGGGAUAACUACUCGAAAGAGUGGCUAAUACCGCAUGAGAUCUACGGAUGAAAGCAGGGGAUCGCAAGACCUUGUGCUACUAGAGCGGCCGAUGGCAGAUUAGGUAGUUGGUGGGAUAAAAGCUACCAAGCCGACGAUCUGUAGCUGGUCUGAGAGGACGAUCAGCCACACUGGGACUGAGACACGGCCCAGACUCCUACGGGAGGCAGCAGUGGGGAAUUUUGGACAAUGGGCGCAAGCCUGAUCCAGCAAUGCCGCGUGCAGGAUGAAGGCCUUCGGGUUGUAAACUGCUUUUGUCAGGGAAGAAAUCCUCUAGGUUAAUACCCUUGGGGGGAUGACGGUACCUGAAGAAUAAGCACCGGCUAACUACGUGCCAGCCGCCGCAGUAAAAC
rnacentral:rRNA from 1 species